AAAGGGUCCGUAGGCGGACUCGUAAGUCAGUGGUGAAAUCUCAUAGCUUAACUAUGAAACUGCCAUUGAUACUGCGGGUCUUGAGUAAGGUAGAGGUAGCUGGAAUAAGUAGUGUAGCGGUGAAAUGCAUAGAUAUUACUUAGAACACCAAUUGCGAAGGCAGGUUACCAUGUCUUAACUGACGCUGAUGGACGAAAGCGUGGGGAGCGAACAGGAUUAGAUACCCUAGU
rnacentral:rRNA from 1 species